rnacentral:rRNA from 1 species
UUGUCGUCAGCUCGUGUCGUGAGAUUGGUUGGGUUAAGUCCCGCAACGAGCGCAACCCCUAUUGUUAGUUGCCAUCAUUAAGUUGGGCACUCUAACGAGACUGCCGGUGAUAAACCGGAGGAAGGUGGGACGACGUCAAAUCAUCAUGCCCUUAUGACCUGGGCUACACACGUGCUACAAUGGAUGGUACAACGAGUCGCGAGACAGUGAUGUUUAGCUAAUCUCUUAAAACCAUUCUCAGUUCGGAUUGUAGGCUGCAACUCGCCUACAUGAAGUCGGAAUCGCUAGUAAUCGCGGAUCAGCACGCCGCGGUCGAAUACGUUCCCGGGCCUU